GUCAAGUCCUUCUUUUGACCCAUUUUGCCAAAGGAAAGGAAGUUGCCUAAUAAUUAUGCACACCUGAUAUAGGGUGUUGAUGUCAUUAGACCACACCCCUUCUCAUUACAAAGAUGCACAUCACCUAAUAUGCUUAAUUGGUAGUAGGCUUUCGAGCCUAUACAGCUUGGAGUAAGACAACAUGCAUAAAGAGGAUGAUGUGGUCAAAAUACUAAUUUGCCUAAUAAUUCUGCACUCCCUGUAGUGCUGCUCUUUGACUCUCAGAAGAGAGCGAAACGUUAGCGUUUCCCAUAAAUCAGAAACAUCUCUGCGCCCACUCUCGUACGUCGUGUGCCCAUUCCCUGACAUUAUCGGCUGUGAACGAGUCAGCUUUUGCAUAGGCGUCGUCCGCCAGGUACAUGAUGCGGGAGAGGGGGCCUAUGGUAUCCAGCAGCUUGUCCUGUGCUCCCCAAAGUCCUUUCUCCUCUUCUUUACGACGGUCACGUCCGCACCUCAUCAUAAAGGUCGACAUCACCUUAUCAAAUUCAGGCAUCUGAGCCACUUUGUCUGGCAGGGAAGGGCGUGGGCAUUCUGACCGGAGUCGGCUACGGACCUCCUUGUCCAAAGGUUUACGGAGCCACAUGUGCAUAAAUCUGGCGAUUUGCUCCAGAGGCGACCACUUCCCUGACCGGGGGUGUCGAAUAUUGCGUGGGUCGAACAUAGCUUGGCCCAUAGGAUCCAGGAUGGUGUCUGAGUCAAGAGAGGGAGGUCUGCCUCCGCAGGACCAUCCGCUAUGUCUGUCUGGGCCGCACCCGAUAUGGUCUCACGCAUAAAAGCGGAGAUAGAUAUAUCCUCUGAACCCCAAUCGUCUACCUCAGAUUCCGAUAGUUCCGCCUGCCAUUCGUCUAGGACGGACAUGGAGUGUGACAGUGCCUGUGCUUCUUCUGAGGAGGGGUCCUGACGUGGGGUUGGGGUACGGAUCUUUUUUAUUAUGUUUGGCAGGAGCCUUACCCUUUGAAUUCCUUGGUCUAGCGCCCUCGCCUUUCCAGUGGCGUUUAGCCGGGCGAGUGUCACCUCUGGCCUGAGAGUCCGAGGCUUCAGAGUUUGACUCAUGGUGGGACAGUCUGUGGAGGGAGGGUUUGGGCAAUUCGGGGCCCACAGCGAGCACCUUGUAUAGUGCCUUCUCCACAGACGCGGCGACGGCCGCAUUAAUCUUAGAUUGGAAGUCCACAGGGGUAUUCUGGGAAUCUUCCAUAGUGAUAGGGUAGGCUUGUGAUAAGUCACUUGCUAGGCAAAGUUAGUGGCACCCAGGUCUUAUGGCACAGAAACAGGCGUGGGGUCAAUAUCUCGAUGUGGUUAUGGUAUCGAUCCGUAUUAUAGACCCCAACAGGGUCCAAUUUGGUGGCCAAAUCGAACUGGGGCUCACACGGUGAAGAGGCAGCAACAGCUUGCCUCUCAAUCAGCAGCACAGUACCUUAGUACAAUAAUCCCAGUUGCAUAGGGAUUGAGACCCUUAAGUGCAGGCCACAAAUAUAUACAGUCAGCAACACUGUAGACAGAUGUGGAUGAAGUUGAAGACUUGAUGGGAGUUGCAGUCCUCAAAUCAAGGUAGUUAUGUCCAAUGUAAGUGAAUCACAAGGGUGUGUGAGCAUCCAGUGUGUCCCAGUAUACUCGUGGAGGUGAAAAAUGGCCCCCCGGAUCUCGCGAGAUGAGAUAUCCAAGAUGGCCACCGCGAGAGGAGAGAAGGUCACAAAAGCCGUGGGCUGUAGUAAGCCUGAUCGCAGCAAAAUUUCAUCCGGUCCGUCUGGUGCCGCGAGCGUUCACGGCCGCCUAGGACGGCGAAAAGGGGCGAAAUUAAGCCUAAGGGACAGGGCAGAGGAGGGGAAGACCCAGGAGCCCGGGGGAUGGAAACAAAUCCCAGGACCCCCAGGCAGCCAUCUGUACUAGCAGGAUAAAACUAGAACAUAAACAAUCUAACUAGUCAAGUAAGUCAAACUAUACAAACAUAGUUAAAGGACCACUAUAGUGCCAGGAAAACAUACUCUUAUUCCUGGCACUAUAGUGCCUUGAGGGUGCCCCUGGCUCUAGGGGGAGGAAGGACGCUCGCUGGCGUCUUAGCGCGGAAGCCCUCUAGCGACUGUCAAUGAGACAGCCACUAGAGGCUGGAUUAACCCUAAUAUAAACAUAGCAGUUUAUCUGAAACUGCUAUGUUUUAUAGAAAAAAGAUGGACCAGGCACCCAGACCACCUCAUUAAGCUGAAGUGGUCUGGGUGCCUAUAGUGGUCCUUUAAACAUGAAAAACAUAGUGAGGGAAGAGCAAAACUCUGACCUGUCUGUGGAUGGAGCAGCAAAGAAAGAGGGAGAGUUUAGGCAGCAUGCCCCUUAUAUAUGCUAUGCUGCUCACUGAUUGGUCCGUAUUCUUUGUUUUCUUUGCUGCUAUGGAGUUAGUAAAUAGAGUUUAAUGCAAAAUAGGAAGCCUCCUGACGUUGUAAAAUUUAAAUUUCAAAGAUCUCAUUCAGGGAAUUUAUUGUCGUUCUUAACAGUGUCUCGUAAAAUGAGGGAGCAAGCUUUAAAAAAAAAAAAAAUAAAAGAAAUGGCUUAGUUAGUUCCUCAUAUCAGAAUGUCAUCCUCAGUGUAUGUUGUACACUGACCCUUUCAAAGAUCCAAUCAGUUUCUAUUUUCAAAGAAACUAAAACGCAAGAGAUUGAUAGGAGAAAUGGGAAAACGAGGGGCUGUGCAGUAUUAGGCUUCAAGCAGCUAGUUCAAUGUAAACAGCAAGCAUUAAGCUUCUAGUUAAUAUUUAACUAUUUCUAUAUCAACCAGCAUCAGCCUAAGGCAUUUGUUAUAAACCUGUGAUAAUGUAAAGACGAUUUCUGACAGUCCCACUUCUAGAACAGCUUUAUACCACACUAUGAUGUGUAAGAAAAACCCAGAUGCAUUAAUUGUUUUAUCUAUUCAUUGUGCUAGUCAAAUGCUUAGAUAAAAAGUAAUCUUAACUAACUAGUUAUUACCAGAUAUCCAAUACAGUGAAGCUGCGUUCCCAAAACUAUAAGCUGUUUAAGUGUCCAGCUGUUUGUGAACAAAUAAAAUGUUUGUCGGGUUUUGUCAUAUCUUCUAGCAUCUCUCUCUGCUGGGCAGCCUGGGUGAGGAUGAGUGAUCUUCCGAUAAUUGCAGAGGCAGACGAUUGGCAUGCUGAUACUACAACCAGGAAGAUAAGCCCAUAAAACCAGUGUAUUCAGAUUAAAGGACCACUACAGGCACCCAGACCACUUCAGCUUAAUGAAGUGGUCUGGGUGCCAGGUCCAUCUAAGUUUAACCCUUUUUGCUGUAAACAUAGCAGUUUCAUAGAAACUGCUAUGUUUACAUCAUGUUUAAUCCAGCCUCUAGAAGUGCGUCCGCGCUUCUCACUGUGAUUUUCACAGUGAGAAGACGCUGCCGUCCAUAGGAAAGCAUUGAGAAUGCUUUCCUGUGGACUGGCUGAAUGCGCACGUGGCUCUUUCUGCGCAUGCGCAUUCAGCCAGGGACAUCAGAAGAAGGAGUAGAGUCCCCAGCGCCGAGGGAGCCCGGUGAUGGAAAAAAGGGAUUAACCCCUUCCUCCACCUUCAGCUCCAUGGGAGUGGGACCCUGAGGGUGGGGGCACACUCAAGGCACUAUAGUGCCCCCACCCUCAGGGUCCCACUCCCGCCGGGCUCUAGCGGUGGAAGGGGUUAAACUUACCUCUUUCUCCAGCGCCGGGCGGGGAGCUCUCCACUCCUCCUCGGCUGAAUGCGCAUGCACUGCAAGAGCUGCGCGCACGCAUUCAGCCAGUCUCAUAGGAAAGUAUUAAAAAUGCUUUCCUAUGGCCGCUGGCGUCUUCUCACUGUGAAAAUCACAGUGAGAAGCACGCAAGCGCCUCUAGCGGCUGUCAAUGAGACAGCCACUAGAGGCUGGAUUAACCCUAAUAUAAACGUUUAUUAAAAAAAGGGUUAAUCCUAGAUGGACCUGGCACCCAGAUCACCUCAUUAAGCUGAAGUGGUCUGGGUGCCUGUAGUGGUCCUUUAAGCCCACCACUAUGUCUGAGAUAUACAUUUAUUAUAGAGCAUAUAUAUGAUAUGCAUUGUGCAUUAAUCUUUCAAUGUAGGGUAAUAACUGCUUGAUCCAAGGAUAAAUCUGACUGCCAUUCUGGGGUCAAGAAGGAAUUUUUUUCCUAGCUUGUUGCAAAAUUGUGCUUCAAACUGGCUUUUUUGCCUUCUUUUGGAUCAACAGCAAAAAACAAAUGUGAGGUAGGCUGAACUUGAUGGACGCAAGUCUCUUUUCAGCUAUGUAACUAUGUGAGUAUAUACAUUUAUUUUAUAAAAGGUAAAGCUGUAUUUGUAUGUGUGCGCUGUUCCUUAACCUGAAUAGUGUAUACAUUUAUCCCCCUGUCUCCACUGCAGCGCCAUUGCUGAGAUAUGCAUGUUCCGGCUAUGCCCACCAUUGCCUAUUUAUCGUUACUAUAAAAAUAGUAUAGUGAAAAUACUGCCAGAUGAGAUAAAACCACAUAUAGUCAAAUAUAGGUAAAACUCUUUCUAAUGCUGAAAGUAUGGCAGGAAUGCUGUAAAUAAGACAACUGUUACAAAUGAAUGGAUUAAUAGAAUGUACCAAAGACAGUAUUAUGCAAAUUGAAUCUGAGCUGUUUGAAAAAUUAUAAUUUUGUUAUUGCACAACUUUGCAAUAUCUAAUCUCUAAUUGUUUACAUUAAAAACCUACUAACAAAUAACAGAAAUAUUAAACAGAUUUGUUCUAAAAAAUACCAAAUAACCUGAAAUAUUGCAUAUCGUCUUUAUGGUUUCCAUACUGAGACCAGUAAGAUGCAAGCUAACCCAUGGUGAGAAUGAAAGUGAAAGAUAGCUGGUCAGUACUAGAUAACUAU